GUAGUAAUAAUCAGGAGGAACUCCGAGAUGAGUUUGUUUGCAAACUGUUGCCAAGCAACAUACAGCAGCCGCUUCAAAUUAAUUACGGCGGGAAACGGCUUCGAUCGCGUCUCAUCCAGUCACGCAUGGACUACUUCUGAAGUUGGUGGAGGCCUACCAUCUGAGCUAAAAAUAUAGGUUUGGGGCAUUUAAUACAAGGCAGUACGCCCAUAUGAAAGGGUGUAGCUGUGGACCAAUGCAAACAUGAGGACUGUGUAAAAGUGGAAGACAGUUUGAUGACAGACUUCUGUAAGAGAUGUGUGUCUGUGCAUUGCUUCACAUAUGAUAACAGCCCACCCAGUCAAGAAAAAAAACAUAAUUCAUUCCAAAGAAAUCCAAGCAACAUCUGCAGUAGAUCAAGGACAGGGCAAACCACGCCCCACAAACUGCAGCUUUCAAGAAGUUUGUGGAAGGACAGUGCUUAAUUUAAACCCAAGAACAUGGAGAAGACCUAAAAAUACCCUGUCAGAAAAGGAACGGUCAAAUCAUGCAACCCAAAGGCAUCAGUGGUAGGCUCCACACACAAUAUUGCUGAUCCAACAGUACAGCAAAAAUACAGCAGCGCUUUCCAAGUUCCUGUUGCUGUUAUGACCUACCUGAAGACUGACGCUUGACUUGCUGGGUAAUUUUGCCGUAAAGUUUGCAGAAUGCUGCUCCCAUCCCACUCAAGCAUAUGAGUGAUGACGCUUUCUGUCUCGAAAGCUUAACUCACGGCAUGCCAUGAGAAACACAAACGCUCAUCCUGUGCAGUCCACUCCCAGAACAGAAGGACAAACUCAUUUGUCUCUCGCCCAUGCAAUCUCCAAGGGUCGUCUCCAUUCCAGCUCGGCUCCGCGCUGGGAUUAGAUCAGACCGCUGAAACAACACACUGUAGACGGGACACACACACCGUCCAGAGGUCACGACAACACCUGUCUGUUACAAAAUGUCAAGAAAACACUCCAUUCUUUUCAUUACUUGAGUCAUUCAUUCGAUGGUUGUUAAACUGACAAACUAUUUGACAUGUUAUCGUGAACCUUUUCCCACAUCGGUGUCGGCUGUUUAGACUCGGCUCUGUCCUUCACUGUGGAACGGUGAGCGGAUGUUUUUAGUGCUCUGCUCUGUGUUUUUCUCUGUGGCUGUUGGCGUUGCGCAACUUAGCACUGCUUUUAUGCCUGAAAAGUGAUGUGUGCAAGUUAAUUUGUUUAUAAAAAGUAUGAAGUAUUGCUUUGCUUCUGUGAGACACA